AAAAAGGAGGAGGUUACUCCAUUCGACCGUAUAUAUAUAUAUAUAUUUUAUGUAUGUUCGGGGAUAACUUCGUCGUUUAUGAACCAAUUUUGAUAAUUCUUUUUUUGUUGGAAAGGAGAUAUCCCUAGUUUGGUACCAUGAUAAGGAAACCAGGAUUUGAUGAUGGGAUCUCAGAGAAAUCGAGAGAAACUCUCGAAAAUCCGCAUAACUUUUUACUGGGUGUACCGAUUAUGAUAAUUUUUAAUUUAAUCAAAAGCUGAUGUUUAUCAUGUGGUCACAUUUAAA
rnacentral:misc_RNA from 1 species